rnacentral:rRNA from 1 species
AGUGAACGCUGGCGGUAGGCCUAACACAUGCAAGUCGAACGGCAGCACGGUAAGAGCUUGCUCUUACGGGUGGCGAGUGGCGGACGGGUGAGGAAUACAUCGGAAUCUACUUUUUCGUGGGGGAUAACGUAGGGAAACUUACGCUAAUACCGCAUACGACCUACGGGUGGAAGCAGGGGAUCUUCGGACCUUGCGCGAUUGAAUGAGCCGAUGUCGGAUUAGCUAGUUGGCGGGGUAAAGGCCCACCAAGGCGACGAUCCGUAGCUGGUCUGAGAGGAUGAUCAGCCACACUGGAACUGAGACACGGUCCAGACUCCUACGGGAGGCAGCAGUGGGGAAUAUUGGACAAUGGGCGCAAGCCUGAUCCAGCCAUACCGCGUGGGUGAAGAAGGCCUUCGGGUUGUAAAGCCCUUUUGUUGGGAAAGAAAAGCAGCAGGUUAAUACCCCGCUGUUCUGACGGUACCCAAAGAAUAAGCACCGGCUAACUUCGUG